UACGAAGGGAGCUAGCGUUGUUCGGAAUCACUGGGCUUAAAGCGCACGUAGGCGGCAUCGUAAGUGUCGGGUGAAAUCCCACGGCUCACCCGUGGAACUGCCCGGCAGACUGCGAUGCUCGAGUGUGGUAGGGGAGAACGGAACUCCUGGUGGAGCGGUGAAAUGCGUAGAUAUCAGGAGGAACACCGGUGGCGAAGGCGGUUCUCUGGUCCACAACUGACGCUGAGGUGCGAAAGCUAGGGGAGCAAACGGG
rnacentral:rRNA from 1 species